rnacentral:rRNA from 1 species
GAUGAACGCUGGCGGCGUGCUUAACACAUGCAAGUGGACCGAUGAACCUCACUUGUGGGGGGAUUAGUGGCGAACGGGUGAGUAACACGUGAGUAACCUGCCCUUAACUCUGGGAUAAGCCUGGGAAACUGGGUCUAAUACCGGAUAUGACUCCUCAUCGCAUGGUGGGGGGUGGAAAGCUUUUUUUGGUUUUGGAUGGACUCGCGGCCUAUCAGCUUGUUGGUGAGGUAAUGGCUCACCAAGGCGACGACGGGUAGCCGGCCUGAGAGGGUGACCGGCCACACUGGGACUGAGACACGGCCCAGACUCCUACGGGAGGCAGCAGUGGGGAAUAUUGCACAAUGGGCGAAAGCCUGAUGCAGCGACGCCGCGUGAGGGAUGACGGCCUUCGGGUUGUAAACCUCUUUCAGUAGGGAAGAAGCGAAAGUGACGGUACCUGCAGGAGAAGCGCCGGCUAACUACGUGC